GACGAACGCUGGCGGCGUGCUUAACACAUGCAAGUCGAACGGAGUGGCGAACGGGUGAGUAUUACGUGAGUAACCUGCCCUCAACUGUGGGAUAAGCCUGGGAAACUGGGUCUAAUACUGCAUAGUUGGGGAUGGGCUCGCGGCCUAUCAGCUUGUUGGUGGGGUGAUGGCCUACCAUGGCGGUGCCGGGUAGCCGGCCGGAGAGGGUGGUCGGCACUAUUGGGACUGAGAUACGCCCCAGACUCCUACGGGGGGCGGCAGUUGGGGAUAUUGCGCAAUGGGCGCAAGCCUGAUGCAGGGACGGCGCGUGAGGGAUGAAGGCGUUCGGGUUGUAAGCCUCUUUCGGAACAGAACGGGUAUGUGCAGAAGAAGCGCCGGCUAACUACGUGCCAGCAGCCGCGGUAAUAC
rnacentral:rRNA from 1 species